ACCCUAGGAGAAAAAAUCAAACCGUCCGCCCCCCGUGUUCUAUGUUUUCUUACGAGUUACGGCCACUCUCCUCAUUCUUUUUCUGUUCUCAAACUCACAAUACUCUCCCUUCCCCAACAAAAACAACAACGAACAAAAAAAAACCUUCUCACUCAAAUCUCUCGCAGCUUACCUUCCACUCUCCGUCUCUGUUCUUCCGAUUUUAAACUAACAUUCACCCAAUCACCCAGCCCAAAUGAAAGACUCAAACAUGGCAUAACAAAAAAAUCAUAUCAAUCGCUUAAUUAGAAAGAUUGUUCAUGAGAAACAAUGAAUCCUAAACUCCAUAUACAGUUCAUAACAAUCAUAAGACGAACAAAACUCACAACCCGGAUUAGGGAGGAUUUCUUCACCGACAAUAAAUCUGGUGAUGACACUCCAGUGUUCAUGGUGGAAAUAAGUUGCUGCGUUGAAAUAAGUUCCAGGUUCUGCUUCUGUUGAUUGUGUUGGCUCUGUUUUGUUCGGUUCUGAAAUGGUGAGAGGUAUUGUGUUACAGUGUACUUUUAUCUGAGUACUUGCAUCCAUAUCUGCUUGGAUAUAAUACUUAAUUUUCCAAAGUUCACUUCUUAAUGGUGUAAUUCAUGGUUGGUUAGUUACUCUUUUGGUACAUGCUUUGAUUUUGCAAAUAAGGUGUUUGUUGAAAUGUCACCAUGAGUUUUGUAUUGUUUCUAAUGAUAUUUAACAUGUCACCAUAAGUGUUUGUUGAAAUGUCACCAUGAGUUUUGUAGUGUUUCUAAUGAUAUUUAACAUGUCACCAUGAGUUUUGCUGAAACAUGGGUUUUGAGUUUAACAUGCUUCUAAUGAUAUUAACAUGCUUACAAAUAGUGGUUGCCAUAUCUAUCUUGCUUACGUCGAUAAUAACACGCCGGCUAAACUUAUUCUUAGUAAACAUAGACAUUGAAAUAAGAACACGCCGUCGCUGCGAAGCCGUUGUUUACAUCGAUUUUGGGUCUUUGAUCAUAUCAAUACUUAGGCAAAGGUAAGUUUUUCAAUUUGGAUGAAAAACUAGCUUAUGUUCAUGUCUGAUUCCUAUUAGAGACAUUUAUGUCGAGACGGAAGCAGGAAUGAUGUUAUGAAUCAAGACUGGCUAUGCCGUCAAAGCACGUGUUGGUCAUUCUACCAGCGCAGCCUGUGAAAAGAAUGACUAGCUGUUCAGUUUUUGAGGUGAACCGUGAAGUGCAGAAUAAAUCUUCUAAAGCCUAGAUGUGAACCACAAUGCCGACGCCGCCAAUUAAAGAUAAGUAAUUCUUACCGGUUUACUUACCGAUUACUACGGAUUAUAAUCACUCGAUUAAGUGCAUAUAUGUUAAUUCGUGAAAAUAUGCUAAUGAUUAUUAACUGCUGGCGCAUUGUGUGUUUUGUAUGUGAUAUACUGUGAUGUUCAUAUAAUUGUACAUAGCCCCUUAGUACUUCCUUAUACUAGUACUCAUCAAAGCAUUUAGAUGUGUGAUAUACUGUGAUGUUCAUAUAAUUGUACAUAGCCCCUUAGUACUUCCUUACACUAGUACUCAUCAAAGCAUUUAGAAUUGAUAGUUUUUAUAACAUUAGGGUGCUAGCAUAUAUCUAAUAUGCACAUGCCUAUUCAUAUCUUAAAUAUGGAUCAGGAAACGUUCCUUUUUGACACAUUGCCUUUGUUUUAGAAGAAACUAGUAAAACAUAUCAUAUAAAUGAUAAUACAUAAUCAAAGUGAUUAAUCUACUCACUAGACAUUUUAAGCUUUACAAUUUUGUCUCACUCUAAUCAAACAGUGGUACUAUUUUCUCUGUUAAAUUAAGCUGUAUCUAUUAUUAAUCCAUGUUGUUUCAGAUGUACACUGUUUGGUAAACCAGAUACUGCAAUUCCGAGUCACAAUGCCUAAACAAUGUCGACAUCUUAUAAUCUAGCACAAUCCGAUUGCGUCAUGAUCAAUACUGGGUUGUUACAAACUACUGCCAAGCUCUUACUUGUCUAUAUGCAUAUUUUUACGUGGUACGCCUUCGUUGGUCACGAAAUGGUCGACGAAGGCAAGGAAAGUAAAAUCGAUGGUAACUUCAUUUUUCUCUUCAAAUUUAUUGUGUGUUUUACUAAUUAAUGCAUAUCUAAAUGAAGAAAACAUUACUGGAAAGAAAAAUAUAACUGAGCUUAGAAGCAAUGGAAAGAGGAUUGAGGUUCAAUGGAAUGCAAUAGGUCAACCAAUCAAGCAUAAUAGAAAGACUUUUGCUAGUUUCAUUGGUGUCACGGUUCGUCGGUUAGUUCGAAUAAGCUUAGACAAUUGGAGUUUGAAAAAAAUAAAGAGGUAUUUGUGGGUUCAGCACUGUUGGUUCGUGAAGUGUGUUUACUACUUUGUGUUGAUGGAUCAUAAUGCAAUGAGUAACUUAAAGCGUUAUUUGGUAUUGAAUUGAAUGUACCUUUUUGAUAUUUGCACACCAAAAGAUGAUUGAUUUCGUGUACAAAAAAAAUAUUAUAAAAUGUACUACAAUAGCAUUUUGUAAAGAGUGUUAUUAAUGAAACAUUCUAUAAUAGCACUUUUAAAAGAAAGCGCUAUCAAACAUGUUCCAUAUAUUAGCGCUUUCUUUGAAAGUGCUAUUAAACAUGUGCCAUAUAUUAGCGCUUUGUUUGAAAGUGCUAUCAAACAUGUGCUCUAUAAUAGCGCUUAGUUUGAAAGUGUUAUCAAAAGUAAAUAAAAAACAUGCAAAAUGUCCACUUCAAUAGCACUUAAAGAAAAACGUUAUUAAAAACCAGUACUUUAAUAGCGCUUUUAAAGUGCUAUUAAACAAAAAACGUUUACAAUAGCGGCGCGGUUAAUAGCGCUUUUAAGUGCUAUCAAAAACAAAAAAAAAUGUUAUUAAAUGACUUAUUUGGCGUAGAUCUUUAUUCUCAUUUAUUUAACAUUUAGUAUAGUUAUUUUUUUAACUCUCGUUCGAUAAAAAUUAAAAUAAAAAAUUAUUAA